AACGAACGCUGGCGGCAUGCCUAAUACAUGCAAGUCGAACGAGAUCUUCGGAUCUAGUGGCGCACGGGUGCGUAACGCGUGGGAAUCUGCCCUUGGGUUCGGAAUAACGUCGGGAAACUGACGCUAAUACCGGAUGAUGACGUAAGUCCAAGGAUUUAUCGCCCAAGGAUGAGCCCGCGUAGGAUUAGCUAGUUGGUGAGGUAAAGGCUCACCAAGGCGACGAUCCUUAGCUGGUCUGAGAGGAUGAUCAGCCACACUGGGACUGAGACACGGCCCAGACUCCUACGGGAGGCAGCAGUAGGGAAUAUUGGACAAUGGGGGCAACCCUGAUCCAGCAAUGCCGCGUGAGUGAUGAAGGCCUUAGGGUUGUAAAGCUCUUUUACCCGGGAUGAAAAUGACGGUACCUACAGAAUAAGCUCCGGCUAACUUCGUGCCAGCCGCCGCCGUAA
rnacentral:rRNA from 1 species